AUCCUACGGGAGGCAGCAGUGGGGGAUAUUGCACAAUGGAGGAAACUCUGAUGCAGCGACGCCGCGUGAGGGAAGACGGUCUUCGGAUUGUAAACCUCUGUCUUUGGGGAAGAAAAUGACGGUACCCAAAGAGGAAGCUCCGGCUAACUACGUGCCAGCAGCCGCGGUAAUACGUAGGGAGCGAGCGUUGUCCGGAAUUACUGGGUGUAAAGGGCGCGUAGGCGGGAUGGCAAGUCAGAUGUGAAAUCCAGGGGCUCAACCCCUGAACUGCAUUUGAAACUGUCGUUCUUGAGUACUGGAGAGGU
rnacentral:rRNA from 1 species